AGAGUUUGAUCCUGGCUCAGGAUGAACGCUGGCGGCGUGCCUAAUACAUGCAAGUCGAGCGAACGGACGAGAAGCUUGCUUCUCUGAUGUUAGCGGCGGACGGGCGAGUAACACGUGGAUAACCUACCUAUAAGACUGGGAUAACUUCGGGAAACCGGAGCUAAUACCGGAUAAUAUUUUGAACCGCAUGGUUCAAAAGUGAAAGACGGUCUUGCUGUCACUUAUAGAUGGAUCCGCGCUGCAUUAGCUAGUUGGUAAGGUAACGGCUUACCAAGGCAACGAUGCACAGCCGACCUGAGAGGGUGAUCGGCCACACUGGAACUGAGACACGGUCCAGACCCCUACGGGAGGCAGCAGUAGGGAAUCUUCCGCAAUGGGCGAAAGCCUGACGGAGCAACGCCGCGUGAGUGAUGAAGGUCUUCGGAUCGUAAAACUCUGUUAUUAGGGAAGAACAUAUGUGUAAGUAACUGUGCACAUCUUGACGGUACCUAAUCAGAAAGCCACGGCUAACUACGUGCCAGCAGCCGCGGUAAUACGUAGGUGGCAAGCGUUAUCCGGAAUUAUUGGGCGUAAAGCGCGCGUAGGCGGUUUUUUAAGUCUGAUGUGAAAGCCCACGGCUCAACCGUGGAGGGUCAUUGGAAACUGGAAAACUUGAGUGCAGAAGAGGAAAGUGGAAUUCCAUGUGUAGCGGUGAAAUGCGCAGAGAUAUGGAGGAACACCAGUGGCGAAGGCGACUUUCUGGUCUGUAACUGACGCUGAUGUG
rnacentral:rRNA from 1 species